UGAGGAAUAUUGGUCAAUGGGGGCAACCCUGAACCAGCCAAGUCGCGUGAAGGAUGAAGGUCUUAUGGAUUGUAAACUUCUUUUAUACAGGAAUAAAUUGGGGGACGUGUCCCCUUUUGCAUGUACUGUAUGAAUAAGGAUCGGCUAACUCCGUGCCAGCAGCCGCGGUAAUACGGAGGAUCCGAGCGUUAUCCGGAUUUAUUGGGUUUAAAGGGUGCGCAGGCGGGAUGUUAAGUCGGCGGUGAAAUUUUGCAGCUCAACUGUAAAAGUGCCUUCGAUACUGGCCUCCUUGAGUGUGGAUGAAGUAGGCGGAAUUUGUGGUGUAGCGGUGAAAUGCUUAGGUAUCACGAGGAACUCCGAUUGCGCAGGCAGCUUACUAAGCCACAACUGACGCUCAUGCACGAAGGCGUGGGGAUCAAACA
rnacentral:rRNA from 1 species